rnacentral:lncRNA from 1 species
ACCGUUACAGAUGCAAACAUUGAAGGAUUCAAACAUAGAAGUAUCACAUUAGGAUACCUCAACCUCACAUGUCUGUACCUCUUUUGCUUGCUUUCAAAUUCAUCGCUGGAACCACAAUAACUCCGCCGCGCCGGAGCUCAUUACAGGCGGAGACGGAGCAUGAAACCACAUCAAACCUACACCGCUCCACUCGUUUCGUCAUUCUCUAUUCGAAUUCAAUAUCAAUUUUGCAUGAUUCUUGCUAUAACUCCCAAAUCAAACCUUUCUAACCAUGAACCCUAAGUUAUAACAUCAUAAAUUAAAUCCUCUUGUGGAGGAAUCAAAGUCUCUAGGGUUAGGGUUAUGAUUCCUCAAGUACUAAUAUACAUAGUGGUAACCGAUUUGAAGCAGCACGAAACAAAAUUUAGACUUACCUAUCGGAUAAGAUGAAGGUUGACAACAACGAAGAAGGCGCACAUGUACGAUACUCUAUUCUAAACCUCUUCCUUCCUUGCUACUCUUCUUUUGUUGCUUCCCUCGUAUUACUCUAAAUUCAGUGAAUCGUUCCGAGUCUUGGUGAGUGAAGAGAGAAGUUGAAGGAGUGUGAUUCCAAGGGAGAGUGAUCAAGAGAUAGUGAAUGUGAGUUGAAUUCAAAUUUUGUUGAGAGAAAUAUGGAGGUAGAAGUGUGAGCAAUGUGAAAUUUGGUGAAAAAUGAUUCUUCAAGAAUAACCGAUGAUUGGUAAAAUGAUGAUUUAUAUAAGGGUGAUGCUUUAGAGGGUGGGUUAGGGAAUUUAAUCCAUGUUAGUUAGAUUCUGUUGAUAAGAUGGAAAUUCUGUUAAUGAAUUCAUUGAGCAAUUCUGAAAUUAAUUAUGAAUCUGGAAAUUGAGGGGCUGCUGUGAGUUUAGCUUGAAUUUGUUUCACGUGAAAAAUUUCUGGCAAUUUGAAUAUAAGUUUGAAUGAGCUGGCAAAGAUUAAUGGUCUAAAUUCUGUUAAUAGAUUUGCCCUGCUAUAUUCUACUAAAACUGAUAUGUUAGAAACUAGUGAUGUGGUUAGUAUUAGGUCUGAUCAUACUAUUAAUCAUUGUUAAUGAUGUGAAACUCUUAACCUGGUCUGUUAGGAUUGGGAUGCAAUUAAUUUGAAACUGACUUGACUAUCAUGUUGAUGUACUGCUAUGAAUGAAUUUUCUACCUAUUGAAUAGUUGUGCAGGUGCAGGUGUAACCGGUUACCACGCCGAAAAUUGGGGCUCUAGGCUGCAAUAUGGGGCUACACGAAGCAGGUGUAACUGAUUACCGGAACCGGUUACCCACACGAAGGUUGGUAGUUCCUGGGUGCAAACAAGGCUAUGUGAAACAUGCGUAACCGGUUACCUACAUGAUAAUAAGGGUUCUGGGUUGCAUGAUGAGGUUAUAUGCAGUAGACGUAACCGAUUACCGUAACCGAUUAUCCAUACAAAAAAUGGUGGUUCUAGGCUUAACUUUGUGCUAACUUGAAGGUGCAUCAUGGAGAACGGAAUGGUAGCUUCCAAGUUCAAAUUUCCUUCCUUUUUCUACUUGAUUCAAGCUAUGUAUGGUGAUGCUAUGUAUUUAUUAAGUAACAUGAGAAUGUAAAUGCAAAUGCAAACUAUACUUAUGUAAUGAACAUUAAUCAAUCCAAUUUUAUGAUUUUAGAUUAAAUCAAAUUUCACUCUUUUUGUAUGAAACGUAUGAAAAACUCUUAUGAAGUGCAAGUUUCUAUAAUUGAAUGUAAAUAUUUUCCACUUUAAAUCGAUUCUAAAAUGCCCUUUAUUAAUGCAAUGCAAUGAAAAACUCAUAAGUGACAAAUGACCAAUGAAAUGGAUUAACAUGUAGACUAUAAAUCAAGCUUAAGACAAUCA